rnacentral:rRNA from 1 species
UACGUAGGGUGCAAGCGUUGUCCGGAAUUAUUGGGCGUAAAGAGCUCGUAGGCGGUCUGUCGCGUCGGAUGUGAAAACUCGGGGCUCAACCCCGGGCCUGCAUUCGAUACGGGCAGACUAGAGUACGGCAGGGGAGACUGGAAUUCCUGGUGUAGCGGUGAAAUGCGCAGAUAUCAGGAGGAACACCGGUGGCGAAGGCGGGUCUCUGGGCAGUAACUGACGCUGAGGAGCGAAAGCGUGGGGAGCGAACAGG